rnacentral:lncRNA from 1 species
CAGUCUUUCUUCCCCUCUUCUCCACGAAACAAAUGUAAAAAUACCUCCAAUAAGUUCUCCAAUUAUCGAGACGAAUUAGAUAGUUCUAUUAUUUUGUUUAAUGAUUUUUCUAAUACCGCUCCACUUUUUUGAAACGGAACUUUGAAUCCGUACUGUCUUCCCAACCUCCAGAACUUGUAAUCACUUAGUGUUUAUUAUUAUAUUUUUUGAUCUCUCUCUCUAAUUGCAUUGCUUCCAAUACAUCGCAAUUGUUUAAUUGUUUCAUCUUAUUAUAAUCGAGAGUAGGAAUAUCUCAAAUUCUUGUCAUAAGCUAUUUGAUUUGGAGAAUACCCACACUGACGAGGUGUAUUACGAUAUUCUAGUAAUCACGAAAUUCAUCGGAGUUGAUUCUUUGAGUGUUGCACUUAUCAAGUGAACUCUUCAUAUUUUUCACAGCUGCUUCUGCCAUACCAUUACUUUGAGGAUAAUACGGGCUCGAAGGUGACCAAAUAAUUCCCUUUAGUUGUAAAAAUUCUUGAAAUUUCUUACAUGUAUAAACACUACCCUAAUGCGAUCUUAAAUUGUUGGGAUAUCCAAAAUCCCUGAACCACCUAGAAAACGUUUCAAUAAUUUGAUCAGUAUUACGAUCCUUUUUAUACUCCUCAAUAACUGUAUAACCAGAUAGAGCAUUGACAAACACAAGGUAAGACUUCCCAUUGAAUGAAAAUAAAUUCGUCGACAUUGAUUCAAAAAUCAUUGAAGGAAUUAUAUCUGUCAAUAAUUCAUCUUUGCAUUGACUUGCUCUUUGAGUUUGACAUGAAUCACAUUUCUCAAUUAUCAUUACGAUUUCAUUAUAAAUUUCAGGCCAGUUAACGGAGUCUCACGCAUUUCUCUUUGUCUUAGUGAUUCCCUGAUGCGCUAAAUGAAGUUUUAGCAGUACGUCUUUUUGGCAUGCUUUUGGAAUGAUAAUACGUGUUCCCGUCGGAACUAGUCCAUCAUUCACUGUCAAAUGUUUCCACAUAGUUUUGAAUAACUUCACAAAUGGGUUUGAAAAUAUAUUCUUCCGACAAAGACCGCUUUCAACAAAUCUUACUAAAACUUGAUAUUCUUUAUUGAGCUUAGCUAUUUUUCUAAUUUCCUUUAUAAUAUGCUCUAUAAAUCCAUUAUUCCCAAUAUUUGUUUCCAUUACAGUGACUCUGGCUAUGGCUAAACAUAUUAAUUCUUUCGCUCCAUCUUUGAUAUCUUCUUCUACUGGGUCUUCAACAGGUGCUCUACAUAAAACAUCAGCAACUAAAUGAUCUUUUCCUUUUUUUGCAUGUAACAUAAAAUUGGUAAUGUUGGAGAUCUAUCCUUAUCUUUUGGACUUUCAGAUUUUCUAUCUGAUUUAGAGUAUAUUUAUUGAAUAUUGUUGGGAGUGAAUGAUGAUCAGUGACGAUUUCAAACUUGGUAAUCCACUCAGUAAAUCGAAUCCAAGACCUUUCAAUCUUGACGCAACCCUUUCGAGGCGUGUUUCCUUCUUCGGAUCAAAAAUGGCGAGGACAGGGGUAUUCGUCAAUAUGGCAUUACUUCUGUCAUUGCUUUGGUGUCGGGAAUUCAUGGAUCGUCUUCAACUUCUUUCCAUCCGAUGCUUUCCAUCUUUACCAAUUCUAUAGCCAACAAAAUUGAUCUUCUCACGUGCGAAUUGAAAUUUCUCCCUGCUCAGCGUUACACCAUAUACUCUACAUCUUAAUAAUAUUAUACGCACACUUUCAACAUGAGAUUCUAAAUUUUCAUCAUCCACAAGAUUGUCAUCAACAACUUUAUCACCAUUAUGAAUUUCUUCUAAAACCUUAUUACAUCUACAAUUAUAUACAUCUCCAGUAGAAAUGAAACCCAUUGGUGCUCGCUUAAAAUAAAAUCUACCAUAUUGUGUUGUAAAUGUAGUUAGUUUCCAACUUCUCUCAUCAAGAGGUAUUUGCCAAUAUCCAUUUACUUCAUAAAAUUUGGUGAAGUAUCUUGAUUUUGGGUUAAUUUCCGAAAUAGCCUCUUUAGGUGUCUUCAUAGGGUUUUGGUACAACAACAAUUGGAUGACACCAUUCUGUCACCUCAUCGACGAUCUUCUUUAUUACGUCUUUCUUCGCCAUGUCUUCUAGGGUUUUUUUAACUUGAUCUCUGUAGCAAAAUGGAAUUUGUCUUGAUCCAUGAAGAGUAUAUGGCUUGGCAUCAUCUAAAAGCUCUAUUUUCAUCGGAGGGAAUUUCAUCGUCUUAAGUUCUUCAUCACAGUCUAAGAAAAUCUGGGUGUAUAGAUCCCAAUCCCAUACACGCAUGCUGCGAUAAAAACAUAUCCUCCUGACCAAUUUUGUUCAAAAAAUAGACGAUCUCUUUAUGUUGGUGAUUACCGAGUCCAAAUAUCAGUUUAACAUUAUUAAUAACCUCCAAUAUUGAGCCGUUCACUCCGACUAUCUUGGGGCUAGCAGAUAGAUCCCAUAGUUUCUUUGAUGGUUAAUCUAAAUCUUUGUAAACUCUUAAGCCUGCAAUAGAAGCCAUUGCACCACUGUCACAUAUAUAAAUUUUAUUCCCAAUAUAUUCACCACCAUUUACAUUCAGAAUAUCAAUUGGAAUUUUAUUCAGUUCACAUCCACGAACUGAAUUGAUGACAUUCCAUUUCUUUAAUAGGACAUGGGUCUUCCCUCUUGAUGUGAUUCAAAUCCACAUUGUCUACAUAUUAAUUCUCUCUUUCUCAUCUGUGGUUUUUUCAAAUCCACUUUUAUCAUUAUCGGCCUUAGAAAUUCUAUUAAUACCCUUUACUACUAAAUCAUUUAAACUUUUUUUAUUACUCUUUGCAGUUUACUCUGUUCUACAAAAAUUCAGAGCAUCUUUCAAAUUAAUUUGUUUUGUGUUUUCUAAAUGUUUUUGACGACCAUCAUCGUCCCUGACUCCACAUGUGACUAGAGUGGCCAAAUAAUCUUCUGAUUAUAUUUCAUAAAUUUCUGUCUCUUCGUCCAACACCUUUAAUUCACAAUAAAAUUCUUCAAAAUCCUCAAAA